rnacentral:tRNA from 1 species
GGUGGCUCAGUGGUAGAGCAUUUGCCUUGCAUGCAUAAGGCCCUGGGUUCAAUUCCUCAGCACCA